rnacentral:lncRNA from 1 species
GCGGGUAAGCUCGGAACAAGGCGGAGGCGUGUGGACAGUCGAAGCUUGACGACCACCGGUAGCGAGUGCGGGGGCAAGGCUCUAGGGCACGGCCACGGCGUUGGGAGCGCAGGGCCAUGAGCGACGUAGAGGCGGUUCCGCAACAGAAGAAAAAAAAACAAGAAUAAAGAGACGCUUCUAGAUGGACGAAGGUGACUCCUUUGAUUUCUUUGCAUUUUUUCACAAGUUCUUUUUUUUUUAUUCGGACCACACACAAACAUGGACAACGGGAUGAGUCACGGGGGCUUCUAGGAGGCUAUGUUGAUUUUUUUUUUGUUCUUAGACCUCUACGAACCGGCGAUGUGUUGUGUCUACAUAAGCCUAUAGAGACCUUGUUAGUUUUAAAAUUUUUUUGGUUUUAGGUACUAUAGCACUUUUGUUUUUAUUUGGAAAUUAUUAUCCAAUCAUAGAGUAACUAGGCUCAAAAAAUUCAUCUCGGGUUUACAGGCAAAUUGUGCAAUUAGUUUUUAUUUUCGUUUAUAUUUAAUGCUUCAUGUAUGUGCCGCAAGAUUCGAUGUGACGAGAAAUCUUGAAAAGUUUUUUGUUUUUGAGGUGGACUAAACAAGGUCUUUAGGUAAUAGAUAUAUAGAUAUAGAUUUGAUAGUUUUUUUUCUCCCGUUGCAACGAACGGGUAUUUUUGCUAGUGAACUGUUAAGUUCAAAAGUAGCACCAACAGUUAGAAAUAUCAUGUCUAUAUUGGCGUAAACCCAUUUUCGUUUCAACAAACAAUCUCAUGGCCGUAUUUCUUGAAUGCAAUGUAUGCAAAGAUUUACCUAUCUUUCACUACGCGUCUUAGAAGACACGCAUCACUAGGGUUCUUCAUCCUCAUUAAACAAAACCUACGGUCAAACACAUUAUACUGCCGUUAUUAGAGGCCUUUCAAAUGUUUCGCUUCUUAAGUACAAGUAAAUGCACUGUUGUCAUGUAAAAUUAUUUUUCUAAAAAAACAGUUUAUGCCUCGCUUCUAAGAAUCUGCACAGCUGUAGUUAGGAUUGUGGUAACUAAGAAAUGAUUAAUUAGAGGGUAGUUUUCCUUUGUUCUUGUUAAAUAAUGUUCGUGUGGUACUAGGACUCCGUAGCCCAGUUGUUUGGCUUCUCGUGGGCCAAGGCAGCUGGUCGCAAGUUCGAGUCCUUGCGGCGCGCCUUUUUUUGUUCUCUGGUUUUUGCGAGCGUGAAUUUUUUUUAUUUUUAGUCCAAAUUUAAAACAAAUUUCAAAUUUAGGCCGGUUUGUAAAGUAUUUGCAAAUCUAGGCCGUUUGGCUCCGUCACCAUGCAUGGCGGGGCAAAUGCACAGUACCCCGCCAUGCAUGGCGGCGGGGUAGGACCGCCAUGUGGCGCCUCCAUGGCACGCCUGGCUAACGUGGAACUCGCCGUUGGUCGUGGCGGCCCCACCGU